rnacentral:rRNA from 1 species
AUUGAACGCUGGCGGCAUGCCUUACACAUGCAAGUCGAACGGCAGCACGGGAGCAAUCCUGGUGGCGAGUGGCGAACGGGUGAGUAAUAUAUCGGAACGUGCCCAGACGUGGGGGAUAACGUAGCGAAAGCUACGCUAAUACCGCAUACGAUCUACGGAUGAAAGCGGGGGACCGUAAGGCCUCGCGCGAUUGGAGCGGCCGAUGUCAGAUUAUGUAGGUGGUGAGGUAAAGGCUCACCAAGCCGACGAUCUGUAGCUGGUCUGAGAGGACGGCAAGCCAAACGGGGACUGAGACACGGCCCAGCGUCCUACGGGAGGCAGCAGUGGGGAAUGUUGGACAAUGGGCGCAAGCCUGAUCCAGCCAUUCCGCGUGCAGGACGAAGGCCUUCGUGUUGUAAACUGCUUUUGUACGGAACGAAAAGGCUCUGGUUAAUACCUGGGGCUCAUGACGGUACGGUAAGAAUAAGCACCGGCUAACUACGUGCCAGCCGCCGCCGUAA